UUAUUUUCUAAAAAACAAAACCCUUACGUCGAAACCUUGUAGAAGCGCCGCUCCUCGCCCUCACCUCUGAUUCGUCAUUCGGUCUCGUAGGUAAGGUUGUCAAUCUUCGUUCAUGUACCUCGACAUCUCCCAAUCGUUGUCGUCGUCGUUGAACGGUACUGGUUUGUGAAACCCGUGAGCCUUGACUCGCUCUCGUUGCCGUGGGGGCCUCGCGUCGGUCGUGUACGGUAGUGGUAGGAUCGAGUGCUCAUCAGGGAAGACUCGAAUGGCCUGGGUCGUGGCUGAACAGCGUUGUUUGGUUGCGGAAAGCUUCUGCCGGUUGCUACCCUCUUCCGUCAAUGUUGUCGCAUACCGUUUAAGGAGACUUUGACUCGAAACUAGAAUUACCACCUCCUCUGCUUUUACCCACAAACUUUGAACCGACUCAAGUUGCUCGUGUUGACCGCAUGGAUUCGGAUCGACCUACUAUCGUUAGUUAUUUUGUCGAGGUGUGUCUCUUUUCGUUGCUACAUUAUUUUAUUUGGUUGUUUAAUUGUUUGUUGGUUGAAAUUGAAUGAAAACAUGU